AUCAUGCAGUCGACGAGCUCUCCCAAAUUGAUUUUAUGCUUGCAUAAAUGAUUUUUGGAUCCCUUAGCGAGUGGCGAACUGGUGAGUAACACGUGGGCUAACCUGCCCCGAAGCGGGGGAUAACAUUUGGAAACAAAUGCUAAUACCGCAUAAUUAGUCAGAACCGCAUGGUUCCGACUUGAAAGAUGGCUCUGCUAUCACUUCGGGAUGGACCCGCGCCGUAUUAGUUAGUUGGUGAGAUAAAAGCCCACCAAGACGAUGAUACGUAGCCGACCUGAGAGGGUAAUCGGCCACAUUGGGACUGAGACACGGCCCAGACUCCUACGGGAGGCAGCAGUAGGGAAUCUUCCACAAUGGACGAAAGUCUGAUGGAGCAACGCCGCGUGAGUGAUGAAGGGUUUCGGCUCGUAAAACUCUGUUGUUAAAGAAGAACAAGCAUGAGAGUAACUGUUCAUGCUUUGACGGUAUUUAACCAGAAAGCCACGGCUAACUACGUGCCAGCAGCCGCGGUAAUACGUAGGUGGCAAGCGUUGUCCGGAUUUAUUGGGCGUAAAGCGAGCGCAGGCGGUUUUGUAAGUCUGCUGUGAAAGCCCUCAGCUCAACUGAGGAAGUGCAGUGGAAACUACAAAACUUGAGUACAGAAGAGGAAAGUGGAACUCCAUGUGUAGCGGUGAAAUGCGUAGAUAUAUGGAAGAACACCAGUGGCGAAGGCGGCUUUCUGGUCUGUUACUGACGCUGAGGCUCGAAAGCAUGGGUAGCGAACAGGAUUAGAUACCCUGGUAGUCACAUGCCGUAAACGAUGAAKACUAGGUGUUGGAGGGUUUCCGCCCUUCAGUGCCGCAGCUAACGCAUUAAGUAUUCCSCCUGGGGAGUACGACCGCAAGGUUGAAACUCAAAGGAAUUGACGGGGGCCCGCACAAGUGGUGGAGCAUGUGGUUUAAUUCGAUGCUACGCGAAGAACCUUACCAGCUCUUGACAUCUUCUGCCAACCUAAGAGAUUAGGCGUUCCCUUCGGGGACAGAAUGACAGGUGGUGCAUGGUUGUCGUCAGCUCGUGUCGUGAGAUGUUGGGUUAAGUCCCGCAACGAGCGCAACCCUUAUUAUUAGUUGCCAGCAUUUAGUUGGGCACUCUAGUGAGACUGCCGGUGAUAAACCGGAGGAAGGUGGGGAUGACGUCAAAUCAUCAUGCCCCUUAUGAGCUGGGCUACACACGUGCUACAAUGGAUGGUACAACGAGUCGCGAAACCGCGAGGUCAAGCUAAUCUCUUAAAGCCAUUCUCAGUUCGGAUUGCAGGCUGCAACUCGCCUGCAUGAAGUUGGAAUCACUAGUAAUCGUGGAUCAGCAUGCCACGGUGAAUACGUUCCCGGGCCUUGUACACACCGCCCGUCACACCAUGAGAGUUUGUAACACCC
rnacentral:rRNA from 1 species